rnacentral:rRNA from 1 species
CUCUGGAAACCGGGAUUAAUACCAAAUAAAAUCAUAAUGACACAUGUCAUAACGAUCAAAACUCCGGUGGUCUAAGAUGGACUCGCGUCCCAUUAGCUAGUUGGUAGAGUAAAAGCCUACCAAGGCGACGAUGGGUAGCCGGCCUGAGAGGGUGAACGGCCACAUUGGAACUGAGAAACGGUCCAA